rnacentral:lncRNA from 1 species
AUUUCAACAAUGAACAGUAAAAUAGAGGUUAGAUGUCACCAAGUGUUGAAAUUUCAAAAAUCCAAACCGUUCGAUCUGUAAUUGUUAAUGUUGGGAGCAAUAUACUGAAAUUUCAGCCAAAUCUAAACAAAAUCAACCAUUCGAUCAUCUGACACUAUAGAAAAAUCGGCCUUUUCCGAUGCUUUUUUUCGGAUGCUAGGAAGAAGCGUUGGGAAAAAAGGGUACCGCGCCAAAAUUUGCCGACGCUUCAAUUAAGCAUCAGUAAUUCUCAAGAAUAGACGCCGCGUAAUAGCAUUGUCGUAUUCCUACAGAAAAAACCAACGCUUUUUAAAAGCAUCGGUAAUACACGCGUAUAAGCAUUGUACUCACUAGCCUAAGACGACGCGUAUAAAUGUCGUCAAAAGUCAAAUUCACAACAAAAC